rnacentral:rRNA from 1 species
UACAGAGGGGGCAAGCGUUAUUCGGAAUUAUUGGGCGUAAAGGGCGCGUAGGCGGCCUGGCAAGUGGAAGGUGAAAUCCCUCGGCUUAACCGAGGAACUGCCCUCCAAACUGCUUGGCUUGAGUCCGGGAGAGGUGAGUGGAAUUCCCAGUGUAGCGGUGAAAUGCGUAGAUAUUGGGAAGAACACCGGUGGCGAAGGCGGCUCACUGGACCGAUACUGACGCUGAGGCGCGAAAGCGUGGGGAGCAAACAGG